UCAAAAUUAAACAAUACAAUCUUGAAAAAAAAAAAACCCUACAACAAUUUAAAACAGCUUCUUUGAAACCCUUUUAAAUCGAUCAGUUUUUGCACAAACUAUAGAAAACAGAGAGGUGAAGGUGAUAUAUACGAAGGUGUGAAGAAACAGCAGGAAACAUGCAAAACUUUUUUCUGGGCAUAAUCUUAGUAGGAAAGGAAAAAAUUCAAAACAAAAACACAAAAACAAUACAAAAACAAAAACAACAACAAAAAAUCAAAGCAUCACAUUUUGCUGUGGAGACUGUUGGAACAAGCAUGGGGCUGAGGGGAAGGGGCAGGCGGGAUCCAGGACUCCCCACAGAGUCGCUCCAGGGAAGAACCACAAAAGAAAAAGAAAAAGGGCUGGCUGGGGCCCAAAGUGCAGCCUGCGGUCAAAAAGGAAAGGGGGUUCAGGUGCUCUCUGCAGUUGAGAACUCAGAAGAAAAACAAAAGAAAGAACAAUACAUGCGGUCUCCUCAAGCCCCACAGACUGUAUCAGCAAAAUGUGCUCAGGAGCCUCAAAGGUUUUAGUGACAUCUUUUAUUUCAUUGUUUACUUCAAAGUUGUCUUUAAAACUAAGCACACAGAGAAACAAAGCCUAGAAACGGACUGGCUGUGUGUUCACAGAAAUACAAACACCACGCGGUAUGUGCUAGUAGGGCUGCUCUGAAGACAAUUACAAAGAAUUGGAAUCACAAAAUCAAGUGGUUAUCUUAUGAAGUUCUAGAAAAAUAGAUUUUUUUUUAUAUUCAAAUGCAAGUUUAAAUAUUUCCCCUUCAGCAGUCGUUCUAGCAAAACCAAUUUGGCAGCACAAAAGGGAAAAAAAAAGGAAAGAAAAAAAAAAAAGAAGAAAGAAACAAACAUAAUAAUACACAUCAGCAUCAAAGGUCAACACAAGGUCAAAGGUGAGAGUUCAAGCAUCAGAGAAGCUGAAGAGACAGGGAUUUGGACGAUGUACUUGACGCCACAUCGACAUGCUUUAGGCACAACGAUGAACAAACGGCAGGAAUCUAGAAAAAAAAACAAACCAGAAAGAGGGAGACCCACUGAGUUACACAGAGCAAUACAUCCAAACAAAGAGAGAGAGAACAGGAACACUCACUGUGUGUACAGCCCUGAAAUGAGGUGGGCGGGCAGGGGUUGGGUAAUGACAGGGAACUUUUGCACAUGCUAACAAUGGACACAGGGAAAAGUCAAAAAGGACAUGGAGGACACCAAGAACACAUCUAAUUGCCAGAGACAGAAGGGAACCUAAGGCUUGGAUUUUCCAUGAAGCGCCCAACUCCUAAGAGAAGAAGGUCUCCAGGCGAGCAGAGCCUCAGCUUCUCUCCCCACUCCCUGGUCACAACCCAAGGGGAAGCAGAAGAUGCUGGCUGGGGUGGGGAAAAUUUUUCAGGGAAGAGGACCAGAAUUUCUGCUCAAUCUUAUGGGGAUGGCCCUUUGUUCCCAGAAAUCCAAGCUCUUAGCUUCCACCCAGGCCCUGGCCACUCAAGUGGCACCCAGGAGACAGUGGUCUGGCUGCAUUCAAGGCAAAUCAAUUUCGUGAUAUAACCCGAGUAAGAAACAAAACUACAGCAGAAAACACAUUGUAAGUGAAACCUUCACACAACAGAAAAGGAUUGCUUAAGACUUGACAGCGAGUCUCCACUCUGAGCUGAGCCCUUUCACACGUGAGACUUGUAGGGGAGCAGCUUCUUCACAAAACCAUCUUUGGCCUGGGGAAAGAACUGUGCUCAAGGGCAGUGCUACUGCUGUGCUAACUCACUGGGCAGGGGGAGGAGAGAACAGAGAAGUGCAUGGUCUCACCAGCUGGCUGCUCAAGCAGCCCAGGACCCUGCUGGGGCAAGCAUUCCUUUUAGAAAAGAGAACCCAUCAGCAGGUAUGAAGCCCUCAGGGUCUGGUAUCAAAGGUGGGUGGAUUGCACCUUGGCCUCUUAUGUCAUUAGGAAAGGGGUUUCAUAAGGUCCCAGAGCCCAGGACAAAUCCAUGGACAAAUAAUGGUGAGAUGGGGGAAGGCGGGGAGAAGAGGGGGAUGUGGGAAGGGAGUGGCGUUCUGGCUAAGGAGGAAGACAGAACAGAAGGCUAGGGAGCACAGCACCGGCAGCACCCUAUGGAGCACAGCUCUCUCCUCUGCCAAUUCACAGCAUUAACACCUUCCCCUUGGGCAAGUUAGCUGGGCUGCAAACGGGCCACAGAAAGUCAGUAGUUUCAAUCAUACACAGCACCCUGUGUGUAUAACAAUCACAUUCUGGAUUCUACAAAAUCCUGGCCUUUUCCAGAGAUAUAAUUUAGGUAAUAAAUAUUCUCCACCCCGGAGCUGUAUAAAACUUCUAUAAAAAUAGAAACGACAUUCUUGGUUCCAGCCGGUUGGGAUUCAGAACAGCGCC
rnacentral:lncRNA from 1 species